rnacentral:rRNA from 1 species
AUGUUUUUCGUUAUCGUCGCGUGUAUUUAUUUGUUUGUUGCAUUCAUCAUCGCAUUGCAUCCGCAUGUUUUCAUAAAACUUGUAGUUGCUCGUAGUUGCCGCGUUCCCCUUGCCUUCGUUGACCGUUCCGGGACCAACCAGAUUUUGUUUCCCUCUUGUCUUGAUCUCGCGGGUGUGAGAUUGCUGAGUCCUCGUGACUCACCAGAUACUUCCAAACAGUUGCAGGUACCGAUGAUACCAGUGCAGGCGAGGCUACCCAGCUCAAGUGAGAGCUCAAUGAAGAACUUGGUCGUUAAUAUGUUUCGUUUCCUGAUGAUCAGUAGUGGAGCCCAGUUGGGACGAUCGGGGAUCUAG